rnacentral:rRNA from 1 species
GACGAACGCUGGCGGCGUGCUUAACACAUACAAGUCGAGCGGAAAGGCCACUUCGGUGGUACUCGAGCGGCGAACGGGUGAGUAACACGUGAGUAAUCUGCCCCUGGCUUUGGGAUAGCCACCGGAAACGGUGAUUAAUACCGGAUACGACCACUUCUCGCAUGGGAUGGUGGUGGAAAGUUUUUUCGGCCAGGGAUGUGCUCGCGGCCUAUCAGCUUGAUGGUGAGGUAAUGGCUCACCAUGGCUUCGACGGGUAGCCGGCCUGAGAGGGUGACCGGUCACACUGGGACUGAGACCCGGCCCAGACUCCUACGGGAGGCAGCAGUGGGGAAUAUUGGACAAUGGGCGGAAGCCUGAUCCAGCAACGCCGCGUGAGGGAUGACGGCCUUCGGGUUGUAAACCUCUUUCAGCAGGGACGAAGCGCAAGUGACGCUACCUGCAGAAGAAGCACCGGCCAACUACGUGCCAGCCGCCGCGGUAA